UACGAAGGGGGCUAGCGUUGCUCGGAAUCACUGGGCGUAAAGCGCACGUAGGCGGCUUUCUAAGUCAGGGGUGAAAUCCUGGAGCUCAACUCCAGAACUGCCUUUGAUACUGGAGAGCUUGAGUCCGGAAGAGGUUAGUGGAACUCCGAGUGUAGAGGUGAAAUUCGUAGAUAUUCGGAAGAACACCAGUGGCGAAGGCGGCUCACUGGUCCGGUACUGACGCUGAGGUGCGAAAGCGUGGGGAGCAAACAGG
rnacentral:rRNA from 1 species